GAAGAAAGAUUGAAACUUACAUCCAAUUCCUUUUGAACAUAACGUGGUCGUUUCUUUGGCCUCUUCCGAGGGCGACGCCCAACCAUAACCAUGAAAUCCUCCUCGAUCUCUUGCAUCGAUAGUCUCACCGAGAAUUCCGGCCGUUCCCUUUUCUUCUUACCAUAACUCUUGAA